UACGAAGGGUGCAAGCGUUAAUCGGAAUUACUGGGCGUAAAGGGUGCGUAGGCGGUUCGUUAAGUCUGUCGUGAAAUCCCCGGGCUCAACCUGGGAAUGGCGAUGGAUACUGGCGAGCUAGAGUGUGUCAGAGGAUGGUGGAAUUCCCGGUGUAGCGGUGAAAUGCGUAGAGAUCGGGAGGAACAUCAGUGGCGAAGGCGGCCAUCUGGGACAACACUGACGCUGAGGAGCGAAAGCGUGGGGAGCGAACAGG
rnacentral:rRNA from 1 species